AAGUGAAUGUUGAGUCUGCCAGAGGGAUUGUGAAUUUGUUCCCCCAUCUCUGGGACCCCUUUUCAGAAAAUGGGCAUGAGCAUUAUUAUGAUGGUAAAAGUGACAGUGGUUACUUGGCUUGGAGGCUUAAAUACAUUCAAAGAUGCAAUGCCCAAGAAAGAAGAUCAGUUGAAGCCUCUUCUACUGAAGGAAUAAGUGGUGAAGCACUGUUGGGAGGACCAACUGCCUGACGGGAGUUCCAGUAUCUUCCAGAGGCACCUCUGAGUGACAAAGAAUGUCGAGGAGCCAUGUCACUGAUGACACAUUCAGCUGAUGAAAACACAGUAAAGA